CAUUAUUACACGCGGACCCCUGUCAACAUUAGAAUUGUAGAAAACUUCAUCUUCUGGUGGCAUAACGCAUUUAACCGCAAAGGCCCUCCGGCUAUCCAAGCGUCGAUAUUUACGAAGUGGGGAGUGGGGAGCGCGCGCGAUGUCUUCAUCCAAGACCCUCUCGAGCCCCGCCGGCGGCGGCGCUGGCGACGGAGUGCCGUCACGGCCGUCGACGACAUCGUCGGGGGAGAGGAACCAAAAGGAGAUCCGGGAGCUCAACGCCGACUGCUCCGACGGGCCCAAGGGCGACAAGCACUACCAUUGGGUACCGCCAUGAUCGGCCCUUAAGGACCACCAAUAAUUUCUGAAAGAAAAGCCGUGAGAUUCGACCAGGUCAAAGAAUCCGACCCAAUGUUUGAACCUGGAACCUCCAAAUGGAGAAAAGGAAAGGAGAAGAAACUAUAUAGGAAAGAGCAUGAGAAUAAAAACCGCCUCUCAUUGGCUACCAUGCUUCCACCCCUGCCACCAGGGGAUCAUAGCAGGGCAGCCAUGGCCUGUUUCAGUAUGCCUAAUGUCCCUGACAAGCAGUUCAUGGUGGUUCUUCACCUCUGCGGGCGUCUUCGAGGCUUCCAGGUGACAUCCCAGCCGCAUUGUGACAGCAGUGGGCAGUGUCCUUGACAUACGUUUGUAGAGCACAAGGUGAAAGGAAGCGUGAUUCCAAGCAGCGGAGCUGUUGAUGGCAGUUGGAACAAUAUUUUGGAGCCGUUGAUAAGGAGCCUCUACUGACAUUUAUAAAAAUCAAAAUGUUUGACACCUGGUCCUUCAUUUGGCUACGUUUAAUGAUUAAUCCUUGCAUUGUGAGUCCUCUUA